rnacentral:misc_RNA from 1 species
CGGUUCGAGUCCGCUUACCUCCACUGAUCGACCUCCUUACUGAGAAAUCCAAGGAGACAUUAUUGUUUAAUGUGAUUUAGACGUUGUUUUAUCUGAAUGAUCCUAGCUUCUUGUCAUUCCAAACCUAAUUUUUAGAUCAGGUUGACAUGACGCUGGGCUCAACACAAUUAAUUCAAUUGUGGAGAUGUUCAGUA